rnacentral:rRNA from 1 species
UACGUAGGGACCAAGCGUUGUUCGGAUUUACUGGGCGUAAAGGGCGCGUAGGCGGCAAUUCAAGUCAUCUGUGAAAUCUCCGAGCUUAACUCGGAACGGUCAGAUGAUACUGUUUUGCUAGAGUACAGAAGGGGCAAUCGGAAUUCUUGGUGUAGCGGUGAAAUGCGUAGAUAUCAAGAGGAACACCUGAGGUGAAGACGGGUUGCUGGGCUGAUACUGACGCUGAGGAGCGAAAGCGUGGGGGAGCGAACAGG